GCGAGAGUAGCUCAGCUGAUAGAGCGUUGCCUUGCCAAGGCAAAGGUCGCGGGUUUGAGCCCCGUUUCUCGCUCCA
rnacentral:tRNA from 1 species